rnacentral:tRNA from 1 species
AUCAUAGUGGCAGAUCAGUGCAUUAGGUUUAAGCCCUAAAAAGGAGAAAUCCUAUGAUA